CAUAGUGGAAAAUUAAUAGAAGACUUGGAAUAUUGGACCAGAAAAGCUUUCCAUGAACCAGAAGUCCAACUUGGUUUUGAUUGAAUAAGAUUGUGUUUGUUGUGCUUACCGCAUGGAAUCAACAAUUUUGUAGUCAUGUAGUCUUCUGCGGCGGCACCUAAACUGAGGUUUACUAUCUGAGAAUUUCGUAUGACUGGACUAUUGUUAAUCUGUAUUUGCUCCAAACCCCAAAACAAUCACCAAUAAGGCAAUAACCAAACCAAGCAAAUCAAAGAAGGUAGAGAGAGAUAGGAAGAGAAAGGAAGAGAUACCUGUUGUUGAAGGCGGCGAGCAGGCUCCGGGAAAAGCGGCGGCGGAUGUUAGGGGACG
rnacentral:lncRNA from 1 species